rnacentral:lncRNA from 1 species
CCGCAACCUCAUGGUUCCUAGUCUGAUAUGUUAACCACUGAGCCAUGACGGGAACUCCUCUCUCUCUCCCCAAGAUUUUAAAUGCCUUCUCAUGCUCAAGCAAGAUGACCUUGGAGUUCCCAUGUGAUGCAGCAGGUUAAGGACCUGGCAUUGUCAUUUCAGUGGCUAGGGUUCAAUCCCUGGCUCGGGAAUUUUUACAUACUGCAGGUGCAGCCCUCAACCUCCGCCCCCCCCAAAAAAAGGUAAUCGUAUAUACCUCUUGCUUUAUAGAAUUAUGAAGAUUUGAAAAGUCUCUAUGAAGUGUUGAUUGGUGUAGUGGAGUGCAAUGGCAACAGAAUGAAACAUCUCAGUCCAAGUACCUGAAAUCUCAUCUACCAUCCUCAUGACCUUGAAAAGUCUUUUAAUCUUAGUUUCCUCAUCUAUACAACCAUGGUCAUAGUACUCUAGUGUCAAUAUCCUCCCUCAAUCUGUGUGAAAAACAUUUUUCUUUUCAUAUCUUACUCUAAAUUCUUCUUCUUUUUGAAAUAUUUUCCUGUUCAUCCAAUCCAGCUUUAGCAACCUGUCCCUGCUCCCCAUCUACACUUUGUAUAGACAAUUUACAGUAUUAAAUUACUUUAGCUCCCAUAAGAAGGGACCAUCUAGAAGCUUCUAGAAGACAAGGAUGGUGUUUUUCAUAUUUCUUAUACCUGGAACCUAGCUCAAUGCCUGACCUAUCAGUACUCAAUAAGUAUAUGAACAAGUAAAUGCAAAUGAAAGAAUGAAUGAAUGAAUGAAUGCUUUACCCACGUAACCAAGUGACUGUAACUUGUGCAUUGAUAUGCAUGAAAGAGAAAUGCUAUACAGACAUAAAUUAUUAUAUUCCAGUGCACAGAAGUCACAGAACUGUGUCCAGUUUAUCAUCUUCACUCAUAAAGAAAUAUAGAAAAUACUAGUUGAUUUUUGAAGAGCUAUUUUAACUGAAGUGUUUAAAAAAUAUUCUGAGAACCAUCAUUGAAACUUAUGAACUCUACAAAGACACACAACUGACUGAACAAAGUAGGAAUCCAGACAGAAGGGAUAAUAAAACAUUUGUCAGGGAGACAGAAGCCAUGUUUAUGGCAAGCAAUCCUCGGGUUUGAAAUACAGUCUCACUGUCUACUCAAAAACUCAGCAAAUGGGUAAAUGAUGUGAAAGGACCAGCAUGUCCUCCAGCUACAAGUGAGGCAACUAGACUAUCUGUUGAACACACAUUUAUGAAUAGCACGGCUGCCAAGUCUUUUGAGAAAAUUUAUCUGUUUCUUUUGUGCAAAAAUGUAUAACCAAAUGAUCGCCUCUUUUGAUUUUGGCCUACCUUUUUGUUUUUGGUUUACAUACACAGGCUAAUUUACGCUUUUUAUUUAACAAAAGAGAAAAACUCUAGACAAACUACAUCACAUCAAUAUUUCCAUCAAUGGUAACCGUAGAAACAACAUCCUAUUUUUCCUUAAGAUCACUUAAAAAUCUCUUUUCAAAACAGAGCACAAAGAAAUGUAUGAGGAAGGAGCUUAAUUGGCUCCAUGGAUUGGAUUUGGGCUGUAGAACAUUUCGCCUCCAAGUCAGCAGUUCAAAUCCAGCCUGGAGUGAAGAGGAUAAAAAUAUUUCCAGGUGUUGGGUGCUUCAAUCAAGUUUAAGCCCUGAUGUAGCUCCCAGAGGCAAGGGAUCAGCAAUGUAUUUUAGCAUCUUGUUCACAGCCCUGAAGCAAAAACAAUGUCUACAAACCCAGGAGACUAAACCAGCUCUUUAUCCCAACAUCCUGCAGCAUUAUUUAGGCUUCACUCGGUGUCCUAUUGGCCUCUCUCCCGAGGUACCAAGAAGAUUUUCACUUAACUUGGCUUCCAAACACUUAAAUCGUUAUCUCCCACCACUGGGGUGCUGGAAGACAAAGCUGAAAAUUUAAAAAGAAAAAGCUAUUCAAUGUUUUCCUUCUCAAAAAGCAAGAUGACUCAGAAAGAACAAGGUGGGGAAAAGAAAGUUAAAUUUGAAAUUACAAACUUUCACAUACAUGGCCAAGAAUACAAAUAAUUUAUUAUCAAGGAAAUUUAUACAAUAAUUUUCCUGAUAAACUUUAAGAUGUUGCCCAGGGAGAAUAUUCACCCUAUUAUGAAUGUAAUGGAGUUCCCAUAAAUAUGAUACAUGACCUCCUAACUUGCAUACCAAAUUAGAUGCUGGAGACAUUGCUAAAUCACAAACACCUGUUUCUGAAUUUCUGUAAAUACAUCAGGAAUAGAAUUGAAGUGAUCACCAGCAAUAGUAAAUCAUAUAAACCUCAAGCCAGACCUACCUUAUGGGUGAACAGAUACAUCACCAAGCAAAUUAAAAUCUUGAUAUAUUACCACUGUUAAAAUUUGCCAAACACAAUUACACAGACCCUUACAUUUCCAGUAUCACCUCAUGCAAUUCCUAAUGUUUUAUUCAGUUCCAUUUACUGAGACAACCUUAUCACUUAACAAAAGUGAUAUAAAGGAAUGGUGGUCCGGCUAUGGUUUGAUCAAAUGGAAAAACUCCUCAGUUGCAAAUCCACAAUUACUCAGAGCCCCCACCCUGACUCUGCCAUCAACAUGUGGCAUAAACUUGAGCAAGAAAUGUCAACUAUCACUUUUAUCUCUUCAUCAGCAGAAUAAGGGUACAAAAGGGAAAUAAUGAGGCAUUCUGGAAGGUUCCUUCUAGCUCUACAUUCUAGAAAAUGUGAAAUUGGCUUUUAAGAGCCUCUUUAAAAAAUUAGUUAUGUAGGAGUUCCCACUGUGGUUCAGUAAUAACGAACCUGGCUAGUAUGCAUGAGGAUGAGGAUUCAAUCCCUGGUCUCACUCGGUUGGUUAAGGAUCCAGCUUUGCUGUGGCUGUGGUGUAGGCCGGCAGCUGCAGCUCUGAUUCAGUCCCUAGCCUGAGAACUUCCAUAUGCUAUGGGCGUGGUCCUAAAAAGACAAAAAACAAACAAAAAAUGGUUAUUGUAUAUUAGCUCUAUAAGGCUUUAAGUAAGAGAUAUUAAAAUGCUAUUUUCAUGCAUUAAUUUUUUUUUGUCUUUUUGCCAUUUCUUGGGCUGCUCCCGAAGCAUAUGGAGGUUCCCAGGCUAGGGGUCUAAUCAGAGCUGUAGCUGCCAGCCUACGCCACAGCUCAUGGCAACACCGGAUCCUUAACCCACCAAGUGAGGCCAGGGACUGAACCUGCAACCUCAUGGUUCCCAGCUGGAUUCGUUAACCACUGAGCUAUGACGGGAACUCCUAAUUUUUUAUUUUAAAAGAGUAAACAGUAUAUAUUAACUGCCAAGUAAUAUCUAGGAAUAUUUUUUCCUUCAAUUUUCUAGUCUGCCUUUAUUCCAGGCAUGAUACUGUAAAUUAAAAUAUGAUGGAGUCCAAGAAUAUUGCUUAAUCACAAUCUAAACAAAAACAUCAAAAAUCUAAACAAAACAACCCUUGCUCCAAGUUGUCACAUCACCUGAUUCACAUUUCCUAAUUCCCUCGUUUACUCAGCCAAUCAACUAGUGUUGAUUCAGUACUCAGUAUAUGCUACACACACUGUCAGAUGCCAGAGUUAUAAAGAAAAACAAGCUGCUGUCCCAAGGAGCUUACCAUCUCCUGAACAGUUUGAAAGAAAAUAAAAAAUAAUCUGUCAACUUAGUUAUCCCUAAGGAGGACCAAUUCAUACAACUCAAUUCAGUAAAUCAGAAAUAAGUGAUAAUUAUUCAUAAGUUUUUUUUUCUAAGUCAAUUAUCAUUUAUUCUGUGCUAACUUGGUGUCAGGAAUCAUGGACACAAGUAUUGUCCACCUUAUGUAGAUAUGUGGUGUCUCCAUAGCAAGUGUCUUUGGACUUAUUCUAAAACCACUUUAUGGUCACUCAUCUUUUUAUUUUUUACCCCACCUUCACCUAUGUUAUCUUGUGGGUAUUUCAUGUAACAUUUCAGUCUGAUUGAAAUCAUUUCUAUAAAAAGGCAGUAUGUAAAUAAAUAAAUCUAGACACGGCCAAAUUUAUACAAAUGUUUAAUUCCAGAAGGCUUUGCACAACUUGAAUUUUUCAUAAGUCAAAAAAUCAUCUCCCUAGAGUUCCCACUGUGACUCAGCAGGCACUAACCCGAAUACACAUCCAUAAGGAUGCCAGUUUGAUCCCUGUCCUCACUCAGUGGGUUAAGAAUCCAGUGUUGCCUUGAGCUGUGGUGUAGGUUACAGACUCAACUCAGAUCCCGUGUUGCUAUGGCUGUGGCAUAGGCCAGUAGCUACAGCUUCAAUUCAAACCCUAGCCAAGGAACUUCCAUAUGCCAUGGGUGAGGCCCUAAUAAGAUCAAAAAAAAAGUAUCUUCCUUUCUUUAAAAACUUAAUUUUCUAUUUGAAAUCAAUCUUCUUAUGCUAAGGAACUCUCCUUGCACUUGGUCCUUCCUCUGUCAUGGUUAAAAUGAGAAAAAAAAAGAGGGGAAAGUAAUUACCCAGCUAAAACUACAGUGACAUGAGCUAAUUCAGACAGUCUGCACUGAACUGGAAACAAGAGGAGAUUUGAAGCAAAAGCCAAAGCUGCCACUGCCAACUUUAUGCAAUCACUUGGACAUAGUCCCUACACUUGUGUUUCCAAUCAUAAACCAACAUUUUUUCAUCUCUUAAAAUGCGAUAAUGUCCUUUAUAGUAAUGCAGGGAGGUGCUGCCAGAAACUCUCAGGCCCCUGCCUUUCGUGACCUCAUUUCACAUUCUCAUGACCUGGGCUCACACAAGGAUUACUCAAGUGCCUUGAGUAGACAAUAAGCAAUGAGCUCCUGGGACAAGGAAUGUGCCUAUGCACACUGUAACCUUCCAAGACCUAGGACAGUGCUUGGUGUACACUCGAUGCUUGAUCAGUGUUCAGGAUUAAGAAACAAUAUGGCUCCAUGUGACAGCUCAGUCAAUCAGAAGGCCCCAAUGACCAUAACAGGAAUAGACUAGAGAAUAAGAAAUUUUUGUUCCAUGUUUUAUUACGUGUAGAUCAGUUUUAUUACUAAGGAAUGCUUUGCUGGUCAACUAAUGCUUGUCUGAAAGUGUAUUUCCUUGGACCAAAAAGAUUCUAAUUUCUCUGAGCAAGUUCAAUGAAUGCUGCAAAGAUAAUGAAGUUAUCAUAAACUGGUUCUAGAUUUCACCCUUUCUAUAAAGUUAAUAAUACUAAAAUAAGCCUGGAUGGAGAAGAAGGGGCAGGGGGUAGGGAUGAAAAGGAAUGUUUUCUAUUUCUGUAACUGUUGCAUCAUCCAAACAAGUUAUUAUAAUGCUUAUCCUUAACUUGAUCACUUAUUAUUGCCUAUGAAAAUUUUCAAAGGUAUAAAUUUCCAUUUAAAAAUGUCAUUUGAUUCAGUAUGACCACCAUCUGUGGAGAUUUAAGACUUAUAUAUAGACUACUCACACGCUUCAAAAACAUCGAUAAAAUAAUUUUUAAGUGCUGAUUACAAUACAGCUUAAUGAUUCAAAAUAAAACUGUAUUAAUAAUGAAAAGCUCUGAUGGAACUGAGUGUGGAGCAAAGACCUAAGGAAGCAUUAAGGUUAAAUCAAGAGUAAAAUCAAUUCUUUUGCAGCUGGGAUGACCAUUACCCAGCAAAAGGGAAGUCCAAUCACCUAGCCCAAGUCCACCGGAUGAAGAGCAAGCUAUUGUUGAUGAAGACGUCUGAGUAAAGCCAGUAGCCUGGCUGACCCUACUAUUAGGUUUUAAAUACUUGGUACCAGCCUUCCUGUGGCCUAAGAGUUGAUGCAUGGUAUUUAGUGAAGUUUAACUAGCUUACAUUCUGUAUUUUAUGGGAGUAUGGAGUCAUUAUAGUCAAAUAGAGGAGACCAAGAAUUUUUUGCUCAGUCUAAGGUUCACUGUCCAGCCAGUCAAAACUUCUGGACCAUUCUAUCCAGAUCUAACUGAAUAUUCUGGAGAUUGGGGGAAGUAGGGACAAUAGGGCAAUAAGAUCAUUGUUUCCAACAUAGACCAGAUUAAAGAAUGAGUAUCUUUUUAUUUUUCUCCUUCUGACUUACUUAGUAUGAGAAUCUCUAGUUAUAUCCAUGCUGCUGCACAGAAACAGACUCAUGGACAUGGAGAAUCGACUUGUGCUUAGACGUAGGGGGGAGGGAGUGGAAUGGACUGGGAGCCUGGGGUUGAUAGAUGCAAACUAUUACAUUUAGAAUGGAUAAGCAAUGAGGUCUUACUGUACAGCACAGGGGACUAUAUCCAAUUUCUUGGGGUCAAACAUGAUGGAAGACAGUAUGAGGAAAAUAAAGUAUGUAUGUGUAUGACUGGAUCACUAUGCUAUACAGCAGAAAUGGACACAACACUGUAAAUCAACUAUAAUAAGAAUGUUCAAAAAAUGCAAUAAAACCCCACUCCCCAUUUGUGGCGGGGGUGGGGAGAGAACCAAUGUGAAGCCAAAGCCUGCUGGCCUGCUCUUGAAAUAUUUUAUUGUUAGGCUUAGAGGGAUGGUCUAAGAAGUAAUAGGAAGCGCCAUAAGCAAUCAGGAUGCUUCUUAAGGACAUACUUAUGAAAAUGCAGCCUACUCUGAGCCAAUUAUAAUAAAAAUGACACCAUGGUUUUUAAUCUGUUAUGUUACACUUCAAUCCCCUUCAAGGAGAUUAACGCAAAGCCUCUGGCCAAGACAAGAAUUACCAGACCCUUAUCAUCGUCCCACAGGUCUCAUUGUAAUGCCCCUUCCCCACCUUGAGCAACCCACAGGGGCUAGCAGAACUAACAUCAAGGGAUUCUCCAGGGAAUUUCCCUAUAACCUGUCCCCCAUGCAAAUAAGUUAUCCUGCCUGAGACCAAUCAGAUCAAAUAUGCCCCAUACAAAGACCUUGCUUACGCAGGCUCAGUGGCCUGGGGCAGGAAAAAUCAGGUCCCCACUCCCGGUCUGCAGCAUAGGGAUAUAAAAAUUCAACUGUAAAGGGGGGAGGAGUCCCUCUCAUGGUGUGGACUGCUCUCUCUGGAAAGGUACUUUUGCUUUAAUAAAUUUGUCUGCAACGCCCCACCAUUUCAAUUCUUUGCUGUGGCAGGCAGGGACUGAGGGAAAACUGGAGCCCUGUCAGACUUACUCAAGCUUUUCUUGUCUCCUAACUCUCUCACAUAAAUGAGAGAGAAUCUUAUGUGUACACUUUUGUUAAAAAAGGAAACAGAAAAAGUGGUUUUUUUUUCCUAAAUGUUUUACAUAAAUACUUUAUCCUGUCACAGGCAUGUCUUUGUCCAAUAACUUUUCUUUUUUUUUUUUUUUUUUUUUUUU